GCCGGGCCAGGUAACGUGGGCUUGUGACUCAAGUGAGGGCAUGACUGUGGUUGAAGAUUGGCUUGGUUGGAGAGGUAGGGUUCGCUGGGUUUUGAGAUUCUGGCUUGCCCGUUCCAAGUGGGGAGUUUGAACCUUGUGUCCCAACCGAAGGGUUGGGGAACGUGGUUCCUAGAGUGGAGGGCACCGCGUGAGGCUGGGCUCACAGAGCAGCGUUCACCUCCCGCUCCCCUCGGUGGAAGGACAACGAGCCGGUACUCCACGGGCCCAACGAUACCUCCUCAGCCGCUCUCAACCCGACAACCACUUUU
rnacentral:SRP_RNA from 1 species